GUGACCUGCGGAAGGAUCAUUACCGAAUUGUCAACACGAGUUGUUGCUGGUCCUCAAAACGGGGGCAUGUGCACGCUCUGUUCACACAUCCACUCACACCUGUGCACCCUCUGUAGUUCUGUGGCAUGGGGGACUCUGUCCUCCUGUUGUGGUCCUACGUCUUUACACGCACUCUGUAAUAAAGUCUCAUGGAAUGCAUGACGCGUUUAACGCAAUACAAUACAACUUUCAGCAACGGAUCUCUUGGCUCUCGCAUCGAUGAAGAACGCAGCGAAAUGCGAUAAGUAAUGUGAAUUGCAGAAUUCAGUGAAUCAUCGAAUCUUUGAACGCACCUUGCGCCCUUUGGCUAUUCCGAAGGGCAUGCCUGUUUGAGUAUCAUGAACACCUCAACUCUCAUGGUUUGCCGUGAUGAGCUUGGACUUUGGAGGUCUUGCUGGCCUGUGGUCGGCUCCUCUCAAAUGGAUCAGCUUGCCAGUGUUUGGUGGCAUCAUGGGUGUGAUAACUAUCUACGCCUGUGGUUUUCUGCCAGAUAACCUUCAGUGAUGGAGGUACGCUGGAGCUCAUAAAUGUCUCUCCUCAGUGAAGACAGCUUUUUGAACGUUUGAUCUCAAAUCAGGUAGGACUACCCGCUGAACUUAA
rnacentral:rRNA from 1 species